UACGAAGGGGGCUAGCGUUGCUCGGAAUUACUGGGCGUAAAGCGCACGUAGGCGGCUUUCUAAGUCGGGGUGAAAUCCUGGAGCUCAACUCCAGAACUGCCUUCGAUACUGGAGAGCUCGAGUCCGGGAGAGGUGAGUGGAACUGCGAGUGUAGAGGUGAAAUUCGUAGAUAUUCGCAAGAACACCAGUGGCGAAGGCGGCUCACUGGCCCGGUACUGACGCUGAGGUGCGAAAGCGUGGGGAGCAA
rnacentral:rRNA from 1 species